rnacentral:rRNA from 1 species
UACGUAGGGACCAAGCGUUGUUCGGAUUUACUGGGCGUAAAGGGCGCGUAGGCGGCUUAACAAGACACUUGUGAAAUCUCCGGGCUUAACUCGGAACGGCCAAGUGAAACUGUCAAGCUAGAGUGCAGAAGGGGCAAUCGGAAUUCUUGGUGUAGCGGUGAAAUGCGUAGAUAUCAAGAGGAACACCUGAGGUGAAGACGGGUUGCUGGGCUGACACUGACGCUGAGGCGCGAAAGCCAGGGGAGCAAACGGG